GUUUUAAUAAUUUAAAUAAAAUAUUGGUCUUGUAAACCAAACAUAAGAUGCACCUUUUAAAACU
rnacentral:tRNA from 1 species